rnacentral:tRNA from 1 species
UAGCUCAGUGGUAGAGCACUUGCCUAGCAUGUGCAAGGCCCUGGGUUCAAUCCCCAG